GCAUGUAGGAAUUCAGUGCAGAAAAGGCAGCAGUUCACACAUCCAGACACCAUGUGAAAGUAAAGUUUGUCCUUUAUAGUGGCCAUUGAUGGUAUGGUAAGUCAUUUCAUAGCAUGCUGUUACUAAAAGAGGAUACAAAU
rnacentral:snoRNA from 1 species